rnacentral:lncRNA from 10 species
GAUGAUGAAUAAGUUGGUUCUAGCGCAGUUUUUUUUUUCUUGUCUAUAAAGCAUUUAACCCCCCUGUACACAACUCACUCCUUUUAAAGAAAAAAAUUGAAAUGUAAGGCUGUGUAAGAUUUGUUUUUAAACUGUACAGUGUCUUUUUUUGUAUAGUUAACACACUACCGAAUGUGUCUUUAGAUAGCCCUGUCCUGAUGGUAUUUUCAAUAGCCGCUAACCUUGCCUGGUACAGUAUGG